AUUGAACGCUGGCGGAAUGCUUUACACAUGCAAGUCGAACGGCAACACGGACUUCGGUCUGGUGGCGAGUGGCGAACGGGUGAGUAAUGUAUCGGAACGUGCCCCGCCGUGGGGGAUAACGUAGUGAAAAUUACGCUAAUACCGCAUACGAUCUAUGGAUGAAAGCGGGGGAUCGCAAGACCUCGCGCGCUUGGAGCGGCCGAUAUCAGAUUAGGUAGUUGGUGGGGUAAAGGCCCAACAAGCCAAAGAUCUGUAGCUGGUCUGAGAGGACGACCAGCCACACUGGAACUGAGACACGGUCCAGACUCCUACGGGAGGCAGCAGUGGGGAAUUUUGGACAAUGGGCGAAAGCCUGAUCCAGCCAUUCCGCGUGCAGGAUGAAGGCCCUCGGGUUGUAAACUGCUUUUGUACAGAGCGAAAAGGUUUCUACUAAUACUAGGAGCUCAUGACGGUACUGUAAGAAUAAGCACCGGCUAACUACGUGCCAGCCGCCGCAGUAA
rnacentral:rRNA from 1 species